AGAAUCAACGCUGGCGGCGUGCCUAACACAUGCAAGUCGAACGAGAAAGUGGAGCAAUCCAUGAGUAAAGUGGCGACCGGGUGAGUAACACGUGACUAACCUACCUUCGAGUGGGGGAUAACCUCGGGAAACCGGGGCUAAUACCGCAUAACAUCUUUGAAGUGGAAAUUUCGGAGAUCAAAGGGGCAAUUCGCUUGAAGAGGGGGUCGCGGCUGAUUAGCUAGUUGGCGGGGUAACGCCCACAAGGCUUAGAUCGGUA
rnacentral:rRNA from 1 species